AUUGAACGCUGGCGGCAGGCCCAGCACAUGCAAGUCGAGCGGAUGAAGGGAGCUUGCUCCUGGAUUCAGCGGCGGACGGGUGAGUAAUGCCUAGGAAUCUGCCUGGUAGUGGGGGAUAACGUCCGGAAACGGGCGCUAAUACCGCAUACGUCCUGAGGGAGAAAGUGGGGGAUCUUCGGACCUCACGCUAUCAGAUGAGCCUAGGUCGGAUUAGCUAGUUGGUGGGGUAAAGGCCUACCAAGGCGACGAUCCGUAACUGGUCUGAGAGGAUGAUCAGUCACACUGGAACUGAGACACGGUCCAGACUCCUACGGGAGGCAGCAGUGGGGAAUAUUGGACAAUGGGCGAAAGCCUGAUCCAGCCAUGCCGCGUGUGUGAAGAAGGUCUUCGGAUUGUAAAGCACUUUAAGUUGGGAGGAAGGGCAGUAAGUUAAUACCUUGCUGUUUUGACGUUACCAACAGAAUAAGCACCGGCUAACUUCGUG
rnacentral:rRNA from 1 species